rnacentral:rRNA from 1 species
AGAGUUUGAUCCUGGCUCAGGAUGAACGUUGGCGGCGUGCCUUAGGCAUGCAAAUCAAGGGGUCCCGCCUUUGGCGGGAAACCGGUGGACGGGUGAGUAAUACGUGAGAAUCUACCUUAAAGUGGGACAUAGCCCCGCGAAAGCGGGGGUAAUUUCCCAUGUAAUCCGGCUUUGCCGGAUCAAAGUCCGGCUUUGCCGGACGCUUUAAGAUGAGCUUGCGUCCUAUCAGCUAGUUGGUGGGGUAAUGGCCUACCAAGGCUUCGACGGGUAGCUGGACUGAGAGGUCGGCCAGCCACAAUGGUACUGCGACACGGACCAUACACCUACGGGUGGCAGCAACCGGGAAUAUUCGACAAUGGACGAAAGUCUGAUCGAGCGACGCCGCGUGGAGGAUGAAGGCCCUCGGGUUGUAAACUCCUUUUAUCGGGGAAGAUUAUGACGGUACCCGAAGAAUAAGCACUUGCUAACUACGUGCCAGAAGCCUCGGUAAUGCGUAGAGUGCAAACGUUAUCCGGAUUUAUUGGGCGUAAAGAGUUGCGUAGGCUGAUCCGUGGCGUUUUUUUUGUAAAUCUAUGACUUAAUCAUAGAUUUGGACAAAAUAUGGCGGAUCUAGAUGGUUGGAGAGGGUGCUGGAACCGAUGGUGUAGCAGUGAAAUGCGUUGAUAUCAUCGGGAACACCAAAGGCGUAGGCAGGCACCUAGUCAACCCAUGACGCUGAGGCACGAAAGCUAGGGGAGCGAAAUCGAUUAGAGACCGAUGUAGUCCUAGCCGUAAACUAUCUCUGCUAGAUACCCCGCCUUUGGCGGGGUGUCGCAGCUAACGCGUUAAGCAGAGCGCCUGGGGAGUACGAGCGCAAGCUUAAAACUCAAAGGAAUUGACGGGGACCCGCACAAGCAGUGGAGCGUGUUGUUCAAUUCGAUACAAAACGAAAAACCUCACCAGGGUUUGACAUGUAGCUGCAAAUCCGGCGAAAGCUGGACUUCUUCGAGAGUGCUACACAGAUGGUGCAUGGCUGUCGUCAGCUCGUGGCGUGAGCUGUUAUCUUAAGUGAUGAAACGAGCGCAACCCUCACCGUAUGUUAAAUAAUCCAUGCGGAACAGUCCCGCCUUUGGCGGGAAGGAAGGCGAGGAUGACGUCAAGUCCGCCCGCCUCUUACACCCUGGGCUACAAACACACUACAAUGGCGAAAAACAACGAGUUGCAAGUCGGCAACGGCAAGCUAAUCUCUGAAAUUUCGCCUCAGUUCAGAUUGGGGUCUGCAACCCGACCCCAUGAAGUUGGAAUUGCUAGUAAUCGCGGAUCAGCAAGCCGCGGUGAAUACGUUCUCGGGUCUUGUACACACCGCCCGUCAAGCGAGCAAAGUUAGGGGCACCCGAAUCCGG